GAGCUCGGCUGCCCGCGCCAUCGCAAAGCUGUUCAUCAGUCUCUCCUCCCUCGCCAUUCAGCUUGCUUCUCGAGAGCUGGACUCGCGACGAUGACAUCGAGGUACGUGAAACGAACGAGAUCAAGAUGCGCCUUCGGAUGAUAUCCGCCCUGGAGGGCUCAACCAGCGCCUUCCUGUUCCUCGGGUUCGAUAAACCCUAAGAUCUUCCUGUUCUUAGGGUUAACAUUUGGAAUCUUGAUCGAAUCUUGAAGGCUUUUGGUGCGAUUGUUUCAGCGUCUCUUGUUCUGUUCGAAAGAUUCGUCCCAAGAUUUACUUAGGGCUUGACGUUGUGUUGUUCAAUCCUGCAUCGUUCUUUCAGUUGGAGGUUCGCAGAUGUGUUGACCGUGGGCGAUCUCUUCCGGCGAGCUAUGCGCCACUGGCGUACGAACCUUGGACCACUGGAACUCGAGGCUGCGUUGAGGAUCCUCAAUACUUGAAGGUAAUGACCACCUGUUUUGCGGUAGAGAUACAAGCCAAAAAGUUUUUAGAAUGAUACAUAGUGACCUAUGCUAGUUGGCAAAAAUAUCAGCAUGGUCAUAUAAACAACAUACAGCACGGCUUCGCAUUUCACUGGAUGGGUCAGCAUUGGCACGUUUGCACAAACACGAUAGUCCUUCAAUGAAGGCUGAAGGAACAAAAAAGGAUGCCUAAUGUUGUUAUUUUAUUCCCUUAAUGCAAGAGGGGCUGUUCAGACUUCAUUAACCUGAUCUGAAUUUUGGCCACUGGGGCCACUACAUUGGCUCUGUUUUUUGCUCAUUCGUUGAUCGGUGGAAUGUUGUAGCUAUUGCCCCUGAAGAUCUGGCUAGCAAAUCUAAACUUAAAGAGAUGUAUAAAGUUCUUCAUCAAGCUUGUUAAUCAACCAAAAAAGAGGCAUGACGGCUCAUUGUAUGUGUUGUUUGUUUGAUCAGGCAAACCAAAGAUCAUUGAUUUUGUCUCUUAUGGCAAUUACAGUACAAGCACCAUAAAUAUGUCUGACCAAUUUAUAAGUCAUUUAAAGUUUAAAUUGCUUUGAAGACACACCAUAUAGUGUCAGUUCACUCCCCUUUAUCUUGUACUUUGAUGAUUAUGUAAAGGAUAUCAUGUGAUUUGGGAACAUCAAAUUUAUGAACAUGAUUUUACUUCAUCAGUGGUGACAUGUUUGUGUGGUUAUGACUUGUGAUUCUACACUUAUCUCAGAUUGUACAUCUGCAAAUUGCAACCUGUUCACUAUUAGAUUACUGACAGAUUGACAGAAAAGCACAGAGUUCAAAGAGAUGCUGAAAUUGGAUGGUUUGGAAUGUCCUGCUAUCAAUGGAAAAUUGGGAACGAGAAGGAUGAGAGUGGAGCUCUUAAAAUUUGAGAGAACAACAUGCAAAUAUGUAACUACGUGUACAUUCCCCAGUUAUGGAAGAUACAAGUAUCACUAUUUGGACAUUAUGCCUUCGAAGGACCAUCAACUUCCACAGGCAUAAAAUCUAGUACGUCCAACUCAAGCAGAGACUUUGGCUGUCCUGUGGCAGAACAGCACAUGUAUGGCCAGUGUUGCUGCACGAGGUGCUCAAAACAUCCACUCCGAAGUGAUGCCUAAGUUGGCGAAUCUCCUGUAUAUCGAAGCAACAAGGUGUAGCAGAUCCACUCCGACCUCUAAAGCCUUACGUCCCCAGUGGGCGGUGGGAGGAGCCGGGAAGGGAGGUUCGGCCACCAUAAAGAAAAGCAAAGCAGGCAAAACCAAGUGCUGGCAAAAGGGUCGCCAUCUGAACUAGCGUGGCAAGAAAAAAGUGUGGUGGUAUCGGAGAUUCUAGGAGAUAAGAAGACAUCUGACAAAGGAAGAAAUAGAAAGGGUCCUCCUUUCGUCACCUUCGCUCUCCAUGCUUUAGUAAUUCUGUCUUUCUUGCCUCUCCAGCUUGUCGAUCAAUACAAGAUUUCUUCCUAGAAUUGUUCUGUUGCUGGUUCUGUUGUAGAAAUGUUGUUGACUCGGUUACCAAGUUGUGGAAGGAGUGACGGAGGUAUGGUUCAUCUUUAUUCCCUCCGCUUUACAUA